UGAAAAGUAAUGAAGAGGAAAAGUAGGCAUAUUGCGGUUGCUACAGAGAGCCGGGGUGAGAUGAGAGCCUGGUGCGCAGUGUAUGCUGAAGUUCGCCUCGGAGCUUCAUGCUGAAUUCCUUAGGUUUAUAAGGAUGGUAGGUGGUGACGGAGACCUUCACCGUUAUAGGAAGGGGAGUAUCGGCCAGUGCCCGUACUUUAUUGAGCCGGUCCGUUAACUGACGGACAAAAAAGGUGGUACCGCGAGAACAGUUCUCGUCCUUUCU
rnacentral:ncRNA from 1 species